AUUGAACGCUGGCGGCAUGCCUUACACAUGCAAGUCGAACGGCAGCACGGGGCAACCUGGUGGCGAGUGGCGAACGGGUGAGUAAUGCAUCGGAACGUGCCAUUGAGUGGGGGAUAACGUAGCGAAAGUUGCGCUAAUACCGCAUAUUCUGUGAGCAGGAAAGCAGGGGACCGCAAGGCCUUGCGCUCUUUGAGCGGCCGAUGUCAGAUUAGCUAGUUGGUGAGGUAACGGCUUACCAAGGCGACGAUCUGUAGCGGGUCUGAGAGGAUGAUCCGCCACACUGGAACUGAGACACGGUCCAGACUCCUACGGGAGGCAGCAGUGGGGAAUUUUGGACAAUGGGCGCAAGCCUGAUCCAGCCAUGCCGCGUGAGUGAAGAAGGCCUCGGUU
rnacentral:rRNA from 1 species